ensembl:lncRNA
CUAGUGGUUAAGCUCGGCACGCUCCACUUUGGCGACCCAGGUUUGGUUCCUGGGCAUGGACCCGUCUGUCAGUGGUUGUGCUGUUGUGGCAGCUCAUAUACAAAAAGAGGAAGAUUAGCAGUGGAUGUUAACUCAGGGCAAAUCUUCCUCAGCAAAAAAAAGAAAAAGGACCCAAGAGAACAACACGUAAAUACAAAUAUCCUUUUCUAUAGGAAUGUUCUAGAAUCACCUGGGCCUGUGAGUGAAAAGAUUGCUGCCCUGGCAGGCAGCUUUGCAGUUGUGUACAUUGGUCCCACAGUGGCUUUGGCAACAUUUCCGGGCGACCAGUGUGAACUUUAUGCCAAGCAUUGCGUAUGAGGAAAGAGUGUUUGUAAGGCCAUGGAUAAGUGAAGACAUGUCCAAAUAGUACCAACAGGCUGGAGUGACCAGCUGAAUAAGGACAGUUCCCAGGUGAUGCUGCUGCUCCGGGGACCACACUUUGAGAACCACCGAACCAGAGGAUUGCAAUUUUCUCACAUUUCAAGCUCAGCUGGCUCAGGAGAUUUCUGCUGGAAUAGUUCUACCCGGUGUAUAGCAGGACAGUGCUGGGACACUGACCACAGGACCUACCUCUCCGCCAGACAGAGAGCCCACAGCCCAGGCGCUGUCCUGCCUCUUCCCCACCAGGACUGCCUCCCCCUGCAGCUCCCGCCUCUCUCAUUCCCAACGCACUUUUCAGGCUGAGGCCUUUCUGAGGUGUGCCCAUCAAAGUCCAAGCAGAAAGGAGAUGCUCGCUUGUUGAGGAAAGCCACAGUAUUUGCCUCAACUAUGAUGUCCAACUGAUCCAUAGUGCAUGCUGUAGUCGCCACCAGAUUCUCCAGGACCCGGCACUCCUCCCCCAACUGCUGAGUGUUGGAGACUGACAGCUCACAGCCAAGUUCCCCGCAUGGCUUGCCCUCCACUGAGGAGAAUCGCCUUGUCCAAGAUCACACCCCUUCCCAAGGUGGCCUCCAUCCAGUGCCAGUCAAGUAGGAGGUCAAUUAGGACACCCAACCAACCACCUGGCCCAAUUUGGAUAACUCUGAAGGAUUCCCAGCUUCAGAGUUCCUUCAUGGGGUUGGCUGAGUUCCUUGUUGGGACUGCAUAGCAGCCCAGCAACAUCCUCUGCCGUAUAUGCUUCCUUCACUUCUCCCCCAGGUGUUGAUUCUGUGAGUGCUGGCCAGCAAACUUCCUGUAUGCAAAUUUCACCUCCCAGUUGGCUUCCUGGGAACUUGACCUGCAUCAUGAUCUUCCCCGCAAUCUCUUCCUCUUUCAGUCUUCACCUGGUGCCAGCCUUAACUCUUCUCUUUCUCUCACACCCACAGAGUAUUGGUCAGAAAUCUUUGACGAGUUCUCACCACCUCUUCCACCACCACCCUGAUCCAAGCCCCCGUCGUCUCUCCCCUGGGCUAUUGCAGUGGCCUCCCAACUUUCCCCACUGCUUCUGCCUUUUGGGGUGAUGAAAAUGUUUUGCAACUAGGUAGUGGUGAUGGCGGUGAUGGUAACACCACAUGGUGAAUGCACUAAAUAC